rnacentral:tRNA from 1 species
GCCUGGAUAGCUCAGUGGUAGAGCUCCUGACUAUGAUUACAGGGGUUUCGGGUUCGAUUCCCAGUCCAGCCA